GUGAACGCUGGCGGUAGGCCUAACACAUGCAAGUCGAACGGCAGCACAGUAAGAGCUUGCUCUUACGGGUGGCGAGUGGCGGACGGGUGAGGAAUACAUCGGAAUCUACUUUUUCGUGGGGGAUAACGUAGGGAAACUUACGCUAAUACCGCAUACGACCUACGGGUGAAAGCAGGGGAUCUUCGGACCUUGCGCGAUUGGAUGAGCCGAUGUCGGAUUAGCUAGUUGGCGGGGUAAAGGCCCACCAAGGCGACGAUCCGUAGCUGGUCUGAGAGGAUGAUCAGCCACACUGGAACUGAGACACGGUCCAGACUCCUACGGGAGGCAGCAGUGGGGAAUAUUGGACAAUGGGCGCAAGCCUGAUCCAGCCAUACCGCGUGGGUGAAGAAGGCCUGCGGGUUGUAAAGCCCUUUUGUUGGGAAAGAAAAGCAGCAGGUUAAUACCCCGCUGUUCGGACGGUACCCAAAGAAUAAGCACCGGCUAACUUCGU
rnacentral:rRNA from 1 species